rnacentral:rRNA from 1 species
GACGAACGCUGGCGGUGUGCUUAACACAUGCAAGUCGAACGGAAAGGCCCUGCUUUUGUGGGGUGCUCGAGUGGCGAACGGGUGAGUAACACGUGAGUAACCUGCCCUUGACUUUGGGAUAACUUCAGGAAACUGGGGCUAAUACCGGAUAGGAGCUCCUGCUGCAUGGUGGGGGUUGGAAAGUUUCGGCGGUUGGGGAUGGACUCGCGGCUUAUCAGCUUGUUGGUGGGGUAGUGGCUUACCAAGGCUUUGACGGGUAGCCGGCCUGAGAGGGUGACCGGCCACAUUGGGACUGAGAUACGGCUCAGACUCCUACGGGAGGCAGCAGUGGGGAAUAUUGCACAAUGGGCGGAAGCCUGAUGCAGCAACGCCGCGUGCGGGAUGACGGCCUUCGGGUUGUAAACCGCUUUCGCCUGUGACGAAGCGUGAGUGACGGUAAUGGGUAAAGAAGCACCGGCUAACUACGUG